GCUACGCAUAUCUUGCAACGGAUUACGGAUGCGCCCCUGGAAAACAAACUCCCCCACUUCGUGUGCGAGCGAAGAGAUAAGACAAGUCACGAUAGGUAACUUCCCCUUAUUCCCCGUCCUGUAUAUUUCCCCUCAAUCCCCAUCAUCUUCGCCGCUUCUAUCAGAUCCUCUCCCCCUGCUAGUGAUACGACCCUGCCAGAUCCUCUCCUGCCGUUAUACCCGGCCGCCGCUGAUACCCGCCUGCCUUCACGAGCUUGCAUGCGCAUCUCUACCUCAGCCCUCGCGUUAUGGAUUCAGUUGUUUAAGUUUGGUCAAUUAUGUGCAGCGCGUGGCUGCUCCACAACGAACCAUCGACGCGCUGCAGGGAGGCCGCUGGAUGUGAUUGUUUGUUGGAUCAGGGCACGCUCGCUCCCAGAUCCCCUUCCACGAGUGCCAACAGCCAAACCAUCGCCCCUACCCGGCUUCUCCCUUAAUCAGAUUGCCAAAAUAAUUGGAUGAUGCAUGGGUGAGGUGCUGAGAGGAAGUUUCAAGAAUGGUGCUACUACGAGCUACCUGUAGAUUAUUUUUUAGAAUGUCAUUUUCAGAUAUGCACAGUUUGUAUUCUUUGAAUCAUGUUCUAUGUAAAGUUACGAAGUUGAUUUAAUAUACAAGGUCUUUAUAUUUACUAUAUU